CCCUUAGAUGAUCUGGGCCGCACGCGCGCUACACUGAUGCAUUCAACGAGUUUCUUCCUGGUCCGAGAGGAAUGGGUAACCUUUUGAAAGUGCAUCGUGAUAGGGAUAGACUAUUGCAAUUAUUGGUCUUCAACGAGGAAUUCCUAGUAGACGUAGUUCAUCAGACUGCAUCGAUUACGUCCCUGCCCUUUGUACACACCGCCCGUCGCUCCUACCGAUUGAAUGCUCAGGUGAGCCAUUCGGACUUUCAUCAUGCUGGUUUCCAGUUUUGAUGAAGGAAAGUCUUGCGAACCUUAUCAUUUAGAGGAAGGAGAAGUCGUAACA
rnacentral:rRNA from 1 species